GACGAACGCUGGCGGCGUGCUUAACACAUGCAAGUCGAACGGUAAGGCCCCUCGGGGUACACGAGUGGCGAACGGGUGAGUAACUCGUGGGUGAUCUGCCCUGCACUUCGGGAUAAGCCUGGGAAACUGGGUCUAAUACCGGAUAGGACCACUGCCUGCAUGGGUGGUGGUGGAAAGCUUUUGCGGUGUGGGAUGGGCCCGCGGCCUAUCAGCUUGUUGGUGGGGUGAUGGCCUACCAAGGCGACGACGGGUAGCCGGCCGGAGAGGGUGACCGGCCACGCUGGGUCUGAGAUACGGCCCAGGCUCCUGCGGGGGGGAGGAGGGGGGAAUAGUGCACAAUGGGCGCAAGCCUGAUGCAGCGACGCCGCGUGAGGGAUGACGGCCUUCGGGUUGUAAACCUCUUUCAGCACCGACGAAGCGCAAGGGACGGUAGGUGCAGAAGAAGGACCGGCCAACUACGUGCCAGCAGCCGCCGUAA
rnacentral:rRNA from 1 species